UACGUAGGGGGCAAGCGUUGUCCGGAAUCAUUGGGCGUAAAGCGCACGUAGGCGGCGCAGCAAGUCAGGGGUGAAAUCCCGGGGCUCAACCCCGGAACUGCCCUUGAAACUGCAGUGCUAGAAUUCUGGAGAGGCGAGUGGAAUUCCGAGUGUAGAGGUGAAAUUCGUAGAUAUUCGGAAGAACACCAGUGGCGAAGGCGACUCGCUGGACAGGUACUGACGCUGAGGUGCGAAAGCGUGGGGAGCAAACAGG
rnacentral:rRNA from 1 species